rnacentral:rRNA from 1 species
UGGGGAAUUUUGGACAAUGGGCGCAAGCCUGAUCCAGCCAUUCCGCGUGAGUGAAGAAGGCCUUCGGGUUGUAAAGCUCUUUCGCAAGGGAAGAAAACUUACUUUUUAAUAAAGAGUGAGGUUGACGGUACCUUGAUAAGAAGCACCGGCUAACUCUGUGCCAGCAGCCGCGGUAAUACAGAGGGUGCGAGCGUUAAUCGGAAUUACUGGGCGUAAAGCGCACGUAGAUGGCUUCGUAAGUCGGAUGUGAAAUCCCCGGGCUCAACCUGGGAACUGCACUCGAAACUGCGUAGCUCGAAUGUGGAAGAGGGAAGUGGAAUUCCAGGUGUAGCGGUGAAAUGCGUAGAUAUCUGGAGGAACACCGGUGGCGAAGGCGACUUCCUGGCCCUAUACUGACGCUGAGACGCGAGAGCGUGGGUAGCAAACAGG